UUAACUUAGGACUCCCUAAGCACACUGGCUGU
rnacentral:piRNA from 1 species